rnacentral:rRNA from 1 species
CCUACGGGUGGCUGCAGUGGGGAAUAUUGGACAAUGGGCGAAAGCCUGAUCCAGCCAUGCCGCGUGUGUGAAGAAGGCCUUCGGGUUGUAAAGCACUUUCAGUGGGGAAGAAAGCCUUGGGGCUAAUACCCUCGAGGAAGGACAUCACCCACAGAAGAAGCACCGGCUAACUCCGUGCCAGCAGCCGCGGUAAUACGGAGGGUGCGAGCGUUAAUCGGAAUUACUGGGCGUAAAGCGCGCGUAGGCGGUCUGAUAAGCCGGUUGUGAAAGCCCCGGGCUCAACCUGGGAACGGCAUCCGGAACUGUCAGGCUAGAGUGCAGGAAAGGAAGGUAGAAUUCCCGGUGUAGCGGUGAAAUGCGUAGAGAUCGGGAGGAAUACCAGUGGCGAAGGCGGCCUUCUGGACUGACACUGACGCUGAGGUGCGAAAGCGUGGGUAGCAAACAGGAUUAGAUACCCUUGUAGUC